rnacentral:rRNA from 1 species
AGGACGAACGCUGGCGGCGUGCUUAACACAUGCAAGUCGAACGAGGUCCAUCCUUCGGGAGAAGACCUAGUGGCGAACGGGUGCGUAACACGUGAGGAACUUGUCCCGGUCUCUGGGAUAACAGUUGGAAACGACUGCUAAUACCGGAUGACGUCGGAGCGUCGCAUGGCGCGCUGACGAAAGGGUUACCGGAUCGGGAGAGCCUCGCGGCCUAUCAGCUUGUUGGUGGGGUAACGGCCUACCAAGGCAUCGACGGGUAGCUGGUCUGAGAGGAUGAUCAGCCACACUGGGACUGAGACACGGCCCAGACUCCUACGGGAGGCAGCAGUGGGGAAUCUUGCGCAAUGGGCGAAAGCCUGACGCAGCAACGCCGCGUGCGGGAAGAAGGCUCUCGGGUUGUAAACCGCUUUCAGAAGGAACGAAACUGACGGUACUUUCAGAAGAAGGUGCGGCCAACUACGUGCCAGCAGCCGCGGUAA